rnacentral:rRNA from 1 species
CGGCGAGUGGCGAACGGGUGAGUAAUAUAUCGGAACGUGCCCUGGUAGUGGGGGAUAACGCAGCGAAAGUUGCGCUAAUACCGCAUACGAUCUAAGGAUGAAAGCAGGGGACCGCAAGGCCUUGCUGCUCCUGGAGCGGCCGAUAUCUGAUUAGCUAGUUGGUGGGGUAAAGGCCUACCAAGGCAUCGAUCAGUAGCUGGUCUGAGAGGACGACCAGCCACACUGGAACUGAGACACGGUCCAGACUCCUACGGGAGGCAGCAGUGGGGAAUUUUGGACAAUGGGCGAAAGCCUGAUCCAGCAAUGCCGCGUGAGUGAAGAAGGCCUUCGGGUUGUAAAGCUCUUUUGUCAGGGAAGAAACGGUACCGGGCUAAUAUCCUGUACUAAUGACGGUACCUGAAGAAUAAGCACCGGCUAACUACGUGCCAGCAGCCGCGGUAAUACGUAGGGUGCAAGCGUUAAUCGGAAUUACUGGGCGUAAAGCGUGCGCAGGCGGUUUUGUAAGUUUGUCGUGAAAGCCCCGGGCUCAACCUGGGAAUUGCGAUGAAGACUGCAAGGCUUGAAUCUGGCAGAGGGGGGUAGAAUUCCACGUGUAGCAGUGAAAUGCGUAGAGAUGUGGAGGAACACCGAUGGCGAAGGCAGCCCCCUGGGUCAAGAUUGACGCUCAUGCACGAAAGCGUGGGGAGCAAACAGGAUUAGAUACCCUGGUAGUCCACGCCCUAAACGAUGUCUACUAGUUGUCGGGUUUUAAUUAACUUGGUAACGCAGCUAACGCGUGAAGUAGACCGCCUGGGGAGUACGGUCGCAAGAUUAAAACUCAAAGGAAUUGACGGGGACCCGCACAAGCGGUGGAUGAUGUGGAUUAAUUCGAUGCAACGCGAAAAACCUUACCUACCCUUGACAUGGACGGAAGCCACGAGAGAUCGAGGUGUGCUCGAAAGAGAACCGUCACACAGGUGCUGCAUGGCUGUCGUCAGCUCGUGUCGUGAGAUGUUGGGUUAAGUCCCGCAACGAGCGCAACCCUUGUCAUUAGUUGCUACGAAAGAGCACUCUAAUGAGACUGCCGGUGACAAACCGGAGGAAGGUGGGGAUGACGUCAAGUCCUCAUGGCCCUUAUGGGUAGGGCUUCACACGUCAUACAAUGGUACAUACAGAGGGCCGCCAACCCGCGAGGGGGAGCUAAUCCCAGAAAGUGUAUCGUAGUCCGGAUUGCAGUCUGCAACUCGACUGCAUG